rnacentral:rRNA from 1 species
AUACGGAGGAUCCGAGCGUUAUCCGGAUUUAUUGGGUUUAAAGGGAGCGUAGGUGGAUUGUUAAGUCAGUUGUGAAAGUUUGCGGCUCAACCGUAAAAUUGCAGUUGAAACUGGCAGUCUUGAGUACAGUAGAGGUGGGCGGAAUUCGUGGUGUAGCGGUGAAAUGCUUAGAUAUCACGAAGAACUCCGAUUGCGAAGGCAGCUCACUAGACUGUUACUGACACUGAUGCUCGAAAGUGUGGGUAUCAAACAGGAUUAGAUACCCUGGUAGUCCACACAGCAAACGAUGAAUACUCGCUGUUUGCGAUAUACAGUAAGCGGCCAAGCGAAAGCAUUAAGUAUUCCACCUGGGGAGUACGCCGGCAACGGUGAAACUCAAAGGAAUUGACGGGG